GAUGAACGCUGGCGGCGUGCCUAAUACAUGCAAGUCGAGCGAACGGACGAGAAGCUUGCUUUUCUGAUGUUAGCGGCGGACGGGUGAGUAACACGUGGAUAACCUACCUAUAAGACUGGGAUAACUUCGGGAAACCGGAGCUAAUACCGGAUAAUAUUUUGAACCGCAUGGUUCAAAAGUGAAAGACGGUCUUGCUGUCACUUAUAGAUGGAUCCGCGCUGCAUUAGCUAGUUGGUAAGGUAACGGCUUACCAAGGCAACGAUGCAUAGCCGACCUGAGAGGGUGAUCGGCCACACUGGAACUGAGAUACGGUCCAGACUCCUACGGGAGGCAGCAGUAGGGAAUCUUCCGCAAUGGGCGAAAGCCUGACGGAGCAACGCCGCGUGAGUGAUGAAGGUCUUCGGAUCGUAAAACUCUGUUAUUAGGGAAGAACAUAUGUGUAAGUAACUGUGCACAUCUUGACGGUACCUAAUCAGAAAGCCACGGCUAACUACGUG
rnacentral:rRNA from 1 species